rnacentral:rRNA from 1 species
GUUUUUUUUUUUUUUUUGAACGAACGCGCGCCCGGAGGAGAGACGCCCCCCCCUACGCUGGUGGUGGUGCGGACCCCCCCGCGGNCGCNGCGGGGGUGGGGCAAAAUGUUUUCUUUUUUUCCCUUUUGGGGGCCUUAUUAAAAACAACCGGGUGGGGGCCAAGGGUUUUUUCCCCACCCUCUUGUUUUCUUGAAAAAAUUUUGGGGGAUAAAUGCCCCCCAAAAAGGGGGGGCCCACCCCCUUUUUUUUCCCGGGAGCCCCCCCCAAAAAAAAUGGGGGAUUUUUGGAAAAGCCUUCCCCGGGAAAAAUUGGAAGAAAGGGGGGGGAAUACGUUAAAUUCAUCAUGCCCCCUUAGAACCAGGGGUACCCCCCGGGCUUCCAAAGGGGCGUAAACCAAAGGGGAGGCGAAGGUGGUGACACGAAGCAAAUCCGGAAAAAUAACGUCUCAGUUCGGAUUGUAGUCUGCAACUCGACUACAUGAAGCUGGAAUCGCUAGUAAUCGCGAAUCAGAAUGUCGCGGUGAAUACGUUCCCGGGUCUUGUACACACCGCCCGUCACACCAUGGGAGUCGGAAAUGCCCGAAGUCAGUGACCCAACCGAGAGGAGGGAGCUGCCGAAGGUGGAGCCGGUAACUGGGGUGAAGUCGUAACAAGG